AUGGGCCCUCAACACCCAUCAAUGCAUGGUCUUCUUCGACUGAUCGUUACUCUUGAUGGUGAGGAUGUUAUUGAUUAUGAACCCAUAUUAGGCUAUUUACACAGAGGAAUGAAAAAAAUUGCGGAAAACCGAACUAUGUUUACGAUUUGA
rnacentral:rRNA from 1 species